rnacentral:rRNA from 1 species
UGGGGAAUCUUGCGCAAUGGGCGAAAGCCUGACGCAGCGACGCCGCGUGAGCGAUGAAGGCCUUCGGGUUGUAAAGCUCUGUGGGGAGAGAAGAAUAAGGGUUGGCUAACAUCCAACCUGAUGACGGUAUCUCCUUAGCAAGCACCGGCUAACUCUGUGCCAGCAGCCGCGGUAAGACAGAGGGUGCAAACGUUGUUCGGAAUCACUGGGCGUAAAGCGCGUGUAGGCUGUUUGACAAGUCGGAUGUGAAAUCCCACGGCUCAACCAUGGAAGUGCAUUCGAAACUGCCAAACUAGAGUUCUGGAGAGGAAGGCGGAAUACUCGGUGUAGAGGUGAAAUUCGUAGAUAUCGAGUGGAACACCGGUGGCGAAGGCGGCCUUCUGGACAGUGACUGACGCUGAAACGCGAAAGCGUGGGGAGCAAACAGG